ACGAAGGGUGCAAGCGUUACUCGGAAUUACUGGGCGUAAAGGGUGCGUAGGUGGUUUUUUAAGUCUGCUGUGAAAUCCCCGGGCUCAACCUGGGAAUGGCAGUGGAUACUGGAAAGCUGGAGUGCGGUAGAGGGUAGUGGAAUUCCCGGUGUAGCAGUGAAAUGCGUAGAGAUCGGGAGGAACACCAGUGGCGAAGGCGAUCAUCUGGGGCUGUUCUGACGCUGAGGAGCGAAAGCUAGGGGAGCAAACGGGA
rnacentral:rRNA from 1 species